rnacentral:rRNA from 1 species
UACGGAGGGUGCAAGCGUUAUCCGGAUUCACUGGGUUAAGGGUGCGUAGGCGGACUUGUAAGUCAGUGGUGAAAUCUCUCAGCUUAACUGAGAAACUGCCAUUGAUACUGCAGGUCUAGAGUAUAGAUGACGUUGGCGGAAUAUGACAUGUAGUGGUGAAAUACUUAGAUAGUGUCAUAGAACACCGAUUGCGAAGGCAGCUAACGAACUAUAACGUGACGCUGAGGCACGAAAGUGCGGGGAUCAACAGG